rnacentral:tRNA from 1 species
UUAUUUUGGCAGAUAAGUGUAAUAGAUUUAGAAUCUUUAAAUGUAAAUUUUACAAAUAAUAA